rnacentral:rRNA from 1 species
GAUCGAAGAGUGCUCGCAAGAGAACCGGAACACAGGUGCUGCAUGGCUGUCGUCAGCUCGUGUCGUGAGAUGUUGGGUUAAGUCCCGCAACGAGCGCAACCCUUGUCAUUAGUUGCUACGAAAGGGCACUCUAAUGAGACUGCCGGUGACAAACCGGAGGAAGGUGGGGAUGACGUCAAGUCCUCAUGGCCCUUAUGGGUAGGGCUUCACACGUCAUACAAUGGUCGGGACAGAGGGUCGCCAACCCGCGAGGGGGAGCCAAUCCCAGAAACCCGAUCGUAGUCCGGAUCGCAGUCUGCAACUCGACUGCGUGAAGUCGGAAUCGCUAGUAAUCGCGGAUCAGCAUGUCGCGGUGAAUACGUUCCCGGGUCUUGUACACACCGCCCGUCACACCAUGGGAGUGGGUUUUACCAGAAGUAGUUAGCCUAACCG